UACAGAGACUGCAAGCGUUAUUCGGAUUCACUGGGCGUAAAGGGUGCGCAGGCGGCUAGGUGUGUUAGGCGUGAAAGCCCGGGGCUUAACCCCGGAAUUGCACCUAAAACUACUUGGCUAGAGCAUUGGAGAGGGUAGCGGAAUUCACGGUGUAGCAGUGAAAUGCGUAGAUAUCGUGAGGAACACCAGAGGCGAAGGCGGCUACCUGGACAAUUGCUGACGCUCAGGCACGAAAGCGUGGGGAGCAAACAGG
rnacentral:rRNA from 1 species